GACAGAGGAUGCAAGCGUUAUCCGGAAUGAUUGGGCGUAAAGCGUCUGUAGGUGGCUUUUUAAGUCCGCCGUCAAAUCCCAGGGCUCAACCCUGGACAGGCGGUGGAAACUACCAAGCUGGAGUACGGUAGGGGCAGAGGGAAUUUCCGGGUGGAGCGGUGAAAGUGCGUAGAGAUACGGAAAGAACACCAAGCGGAGAACACUCUGGACUGGGCCGACACUGCACUGAGA
rnacentral:rRNA from 1 species